rnacentral:lncRNA from 1 species
CUUCUUUCUAGGGGUCAGAUGGUGACUCCUAGUCUAUCCCCUCCUACCUACCCUGGUGACUCUGUGGCAUCAGGGUAAAGAGCUUUUCUGAGAAGUCAUUCUUCAAAGUCAAUGAGCUCCCACAGACCUGGAAAAAAUAUUUUGUGAUCUCUCCUGGUUCCUCACCCCAUGUUCUCCACUGAUCAGACCCAUUGGUGAUUAGAUGCUCAGCAGAAGUGAUUUUGCAGCCUUUGACACCUUGCAUCCCCUGCUGCCUGGAUUUCAAAGAGAGAAAAACAGCUUCUGGAUUACCUGA